GAAGUGCGAUAAGCAAUGCGAAUUGCAGAAUUCCGCGAAUCAUCAGAUCUUUGAACGCAAAUGGCGCCAGAGGGAUAUCCUUCUGGCAUGUCUGUUUCAGUGUCUGAGAGGUUUCACACUAAUCUUAAUGUGAUUGAAUCGAGUUAGUUAGUUAGUUUUAUUUAUUUAUUUAUUACUAGCUUCCUUCUUUUCUCUCAUGAAAGAUGCGCGAGGGGAUCUUUCGGUCCAAUGAAGUGGUCACAUCACUCGAAUGUGAUUUCAUUGGAAGCACCGAAUUAUCAUUUAACAACUCGUGGUAUCAUAAAACUAAUUUAAGAAAAAUGAUCUGAUCUCAGUGUCAUUUUUUUUAAAAACUCUCUACACCCUGCAUCUGAGACAGGCAAGAUCACCCGCUGAACUUAA
rnacentral:misc_RNA from 1 species